AACGAACGCUGGCGGCAGGCCUAACACAUGCAAGUCGAGCGCCCUUUCGGGGGAGCGGCGGACGGGUGAGUACCGCGUGGGAAUAUGCCCUUCUCUACGGAAUAGCCUCGGGAAACUGAGAGUAAUACCGUAUACGCCCUGUGGGGGAAAGAUUUAUCGGGGAAGGAUUAGCCCGCGUUGGAUUAGGUAGUUGGUGGGGUAAUGGCCUACCAAGCCGACGAUCCAUAGCUGGUUUGAGAGGAUGAUCAGCCACACUGGGACUGAGACACGGCCCAGACUCCUACGGGAGGCAGCAGUGGGGGAUCUUAGACAAUGGGGGCAACCCUGAUCGAGCCAUGCCGCGUGAGUGAUGAAGGCCUUAGGGUUGUAAAGCUCUUUCAGCUGGGAAGAUAAUGACGGUACCAGCAGAAGAAGCCCCGGCUAACUCCGUG
rnacentral:rRNA from 1 species